GCUGAUGACUGGGGUGAAGUCGUAACAAGGUAGCCGUACCGGAAGGUGUGGCUGGAUCACCUCCUUU
rnacentral:rRNA from 1 species